AUCUGGGAUGAAAACUCGAACAUUCCACCUCAAACUCAACCCAAAGCAAAGCGUCUGCUUGCGAUUUGUUAAACGUUCUAAUUGUCUGCAUAAUCGGUCCAUAAUUUAAAUAAUCGACAUGAAUUAAGGUCAAUUUUUCAAAAACUUAGUCUUCUGCUGUUUAAAACUCUAUUAACAGCACGACAUUUUACAUCAAUGGGCUUCAAGUUUAUUCCUUCCUAGUUAGCAAACCGCCAUCUGUAAAAUUCAUCACUAAUUUGUUUUUUGUAUCCAUUCCAGAUAGGAGACCGACUGUUUGUGGGAGCCCCCGGAAGCUACUACUGGCAAGGGCAAAUGUACUCUAUCGAUGCCAACUCCAGAUUUAACUAUACACCGGGCCUGCUAGGCACGACGUACGGCGCCAAAGGUAUUUCUUAGCUAGCGUCGGACAUACAUACCAUUUUCUAAUAUGCGCCGCCCAAUCACUACUUAUUCAUUUCUUUGGAUGUGGUUUAGUGAGUCGUGGUUUUCUAAAGGACUGUAAUCUAGACACUUGAAUUCAUCCAGAUUGUUGGAAAAAUCGCCUUCGUCUAGUUGCUUGCUGUUUACUUUUUCUCUGUUCUGUUACUCCCACUGCACACAAAUUUGACCAUGCACCACGUCUUGUUAAGCCACCCCAGACUAAUAAAAUAAAAACCAACGACGCAGCAUCUUCAACUUAUUACCAUGUUAUACCAUUUGGUGUAGGAGUGUUAACUUCCAGGGUGCAGUGUUCUACUAAUGGUCAUUCUUAAUCCAGUACUAAAUUUGUUUAGGCUUUCAAUAAACAUACUAAAUUUGA